rnacentral:rRNA from 1 species
CGCGCGCUACACUGACCGAAACCAGCGAGUUUAUUUCCUUGGCCGGAAGGCCUGGGUAAUCUUGUGAAAUUCGGUCGUGAUGGGGAUAGAGCAUUGCAAUUAUUGCUCUUCAACGAGGAAUACCUAGUAAGCGUGAGUCAUCAGCUCGCGUUGAAUUCGUCCCUGCCCUUUGUACACACCGCCCGUCGCUACUACCGAUUGAAUGGCUUAGUGAGGCCUUCGGAUUGGCUUCUGGGAGCCGGCAACGGCACCUAGUCGCUGAGAAGUUUGACGAACUUGGUCAUUUAGAGGAAGUAAAAGUCGUAACAAGGUUUCCGUAGGUGAACCUGCGGAAGGAUCAUUAAUGAAUUUUAGGACGUUCUUUUUAGAAGUCCGACCCUUUCAUUUUCUUACACCGUGCACACACUUCUUUUUUACACACACUUUUAACACCUUAGUAUAAGAAUGUAAUAGUCUCUUAAUUGAGCAUAAAUAAAAACAAAACUUUCAGCAACGGAUCUCUUGGCUCUCGCAUCGAUGAAGAACGCAGCGAAUUGCGAUAAGUAAUGUGAAUUGCAGAAUUCAGUGAAUCAUCGAAUCUUUGAACGCACCUUGCACUCUUUGGUAUUCCGAAGAGUAUGUCUGUUUGAGUGUCAUGAAACUCUCAACCCCCCUAUUGUGGAAUGGAAAGGG